rnacentral:rRNA from 1 species
UACAGAGGUCCCGAGCGUUGUUCGGAUUCACUGGGCGUAAAGGGUGCGUAGGUGGCUUGAAAAGUUUGAUGUGAAAGCUCAGGGCUUAACCCUGAAAUGGCAUUGAAUACUAUCGGGCUGGAGGUUUGGAGGGGGGACUGGAAUUCUUGGUGUAGCAGUGAAAUGCGUAGAUAUCAAGAGGAACACCAGUGGCGAAGGCGAGUCCCUGGACAACACCUGACACUGAGGCACGAAGGCCAGGGGAGCAAACGGG